rnacentral:antisense_RNA from 1 species
CUUCAACGACCCCAGCCAGAGCGGCUGUUCGGCCGAACGGCCCUGACCGUAGGUGGCCAGCACCGCCUGCGCCUC